UUGGUGAUUUUUUAAAGACAGAAUUGAAUUAGGGUUUUGUUUUGUUUUUUCAACACCUCCCAAGGUGUCAAAAUUCUUAAGGCACUCUAUGACAUGUAGCUUUCCAGACAAUGAACUCCGUAAGGGCAUAAACACUCUCGUAUUUGUAUCUGUAUUGGCCUCAGAGCCCAGCACAGGGCCUGGCACACAGUAAGCCCUCAAUGCUGUUGAAUAAAGGAAAAUUAAAGAGGCAUUUUUGAAAUAAAAUCUUUCUGAUUUUCCAGUUCAGUAGUGACCUUUCUAGUAUUUCUGUGCAGACAUUUCCCGUCUUGUCCUCACUAUUUCAAGAUCCCAGGGACAGAGACCUACGUGGCAGAGGCAGGAAUUGAAUUCAGAACUCAAGAAGCACUUCCUGGCUUCAGUAGAGUAAGAAGGGUCCUCACCUUCCCUUCCGUGGAAAUUUUUUGGAUUUAGAAGGAAUUUUUCAAGAAGUGCUGUGAGGCACGAGGAGGGGCUGUAACACCAUUUGGAGCAGAAGAAAGUUUGCAUUUUCAUCUCUGUGGAGCUCUACUCCUUAGAGAACUGAGGGCAGGACCUUCGAUAACCUGUUGGGCCCCGGGGAGGGACAAUUUUCUUAUUGGACCAGUGGGGACCUAGUCUCCACCUCCACCUCUUUCACCUCUUUUGCAGGUCACCACGAGGACUAAAAGUGAGAAUGGGUAAGAAGGUGCCAAAGUACUGUCAACCCAAUCCUUACUCAGUAAGUCAGGCACAAUAUUAGACGCUAGGGAUUCAUUCACUCAGUCAGUCAGUCAUCAAAUAUUAAGUGAAGGGCCACUAUGCAUCAGGCAAAUUAGGUCUGACUCUUGCCCACCGGGGUUAAUAGCUGAGGGAACAGGGUCUAUCCAGGGUAUUUCAUACCAAGACUGGGCAUACCUACUGCCCUACCUCCAAAGAGGGCCUUCCCUGCCUUCUCAGAUUUCCUGAACCGGUCUUCUCUAUGAGCUGCCUACGCUCCAUGUUCACCCUCAAUCACUGCCCUGGAGCCUUAAACUCUUGUAUCUAAGAGAGGAGCACCAGGCACGUCCAACAUGCAAAUCACGUUCACCCGGGGCUCAGACACACUGAUCCCCUCCCCCGCCCUUCCCCACACCUAAUCCAGGCCCUACUAGACUGAAAACCCUGGGGCAAAGGAGCUUGGAAAAGCCUGAUGCUUAGCAUUUGGGUCAGCACCAGAGAGCAGGAUAGGGUCAAAGGCCAACUCCCGCCCUCAUGCUGCAACCUCCUAGUCUCUGCUCAGUGCUGCCCUGUCCUUGGUGCUGGGGACAGUCAUGAGUCAGCUCAGGUCCCUGCUGCCCCAGCUCCCAAUCCAGCAGGGGAGGUAAAACAGGGGACAUAGCUGAUGGUGCAGACUCAAGCUUCAUCCAGCGGGGCACGUAUGGUUCUGCAGCCUGGUCCCACUCCUUAAGGUAGGGAGUAGACUUUUAAACUGAGCCCCAGCCUUGACACGGUGCCUUUCCUCCAGAAUACUGUGCAUAUACUAAUCACCCGGGAAUUUUGUUAAAAUGUGGGAUCUGAUGAUUCAGUAGAUCUGAGUUAGAGCUUGAGAUUACGCAUUUCUAACGAGCUCCCAGGUCUCUGGGACCCGGACCACAGUUGGAGUGGGAGGCUCUAGAGCUCUUGUCUCAUUUCUCUGAGAACUGAUUGGUAAUGUCUCUUCCCCACGGAUCCAUAAGCUCCUUAAGGCAGGGAUCUUGCCCAUUUCUUUAGUGAUAUAUUCCCAGUGCUUGGCACAUUCAGUAAGUCCUUGUUGGAGGAGUAGCCAACGCUCCCUUAUCCAUGGGAGCUGGGAAUAAUCCCACACAGCAGACAAACCCACUGGCCAAAUACACUCAUUUGCACGCCCCAUCUCAUCUCCACCAACCUCCGUGGCAGGUGAUGGCAUUUUACCAGGCCUGCUGUGUGCACAGCUAUGGCUUAAUCACAUCCUAAUCCUACUUCAUGAACCUCUGCCUAAUAACUCACAAGGGGCUCACCCCAUGUGGUGACCCAAGAUCCUGAGCAAAGCUCCCCCACUGCCUCCCCAGACCACUCCCCCAAGUCACCAGCGGACACACCGGGCCCAGAGGAAUGUUUCUUCUUUCUUUUUAAUUAAACUAGUUUUAAUUAAAAAAAAAUAACCUAACAAGUCCCAAGUUUUCCAUAUGGUGGGGCAGCCCACUGACUCCCCUUGCAGUCAAGGAACCCCUGGUGCUGCUUGUCUCAGAGAUGAAGAACUGUCCUCAGGGUCUGCAAGAGCUCAGCCAGGCGCGUCUGUGUGGAAGGGGAGCGCUCUCCCAGUAAGAAACCGAGAACGUACAGGGAAGGUUAAAGAAGUGAGGAGCCAGUCGGGAAGUGGCUUGAGAUCGAAGGUCUGGCUUCAGAAGGCUUGGAGUUCACCAGAAACCCGAGGCCAGCAUCCUUUGAAAAAACAAAAUCGUGAAAAGUGGUCCAGCUAGCAGAUUUGGGAACUGGAGGACUGACGGCUUUAAAUCAAGAGCCCCCCUGGAAAAUCUACAACUUGGAGUUGCCUUCUGGCUGCCUCUUCUCCAUGCACCUUCUCUUCUAGAAAGAGGGCUCCCUUUCUCACACACUCAUGUCAUGCACACUGGGAAGAUGCACAAAACACAGCCUGCACAGCCCAGAGUUCCAAGGAGCAGUUACUGGGUCAGAGAGUGACCCCCAAGUGCUUCCACAGACUGGAGGUCUGAGAGAGCUGCUUACUGGCCCAGAAAUGCCAGACUCGCAUCUCAUUGGGGAAGGCGGGGUGGUCUUAGUCUUUAUUAAAACCUGGCUCUAGGAAAUACCAGCACACACCACACGGUUCAGAAGAGAUGCAACCCUGAGCCUAUUUCAGGAAACUUUUCCAAAGUGACAGGAAAGCCAGACCUGGCUUGGAGGGAACUAAAGGAUGAAAGAGUCUUGUCUUAAAGAGACUUGUCUGUCUUAGAGGUAGGCAAGUUCAAGGGAACAGGGCUGGGAGUAGGCAAGGCAACUGAAGUGGCCCAGAUUUAAGGGGCCUCUCACUCUUGGGGUGGUGCAAGUGCAGGGUCGGCAUUUGAGAGCCAGUGCCUCCUUAAAUUUGGGGCCCUAGGUGCCUCACUCCAGUUCUGGCCCUGAUGUGGAGUGCCCCUGGGUACAGAUGAUCAAAACUAGCUAUAGCAGCCAGAGGGCCUAGGACUUCAAAUUCCAAACUUGAAGCUCCAGGACUCCGCUCUCCCAGCUCCAAUCUCAGCUGAUAAUAUAUCAGCCACCAUUACAGAGCAUUGUGUAUGUGGUAAACACUUACGCACAUUAGCUCACUUAAACGUGAACAUCUUGGGAGGUAGGUACUAUUAAUACCCCUGUUUUGCAGAUAAGGAAACUAAGGCUUUGAGAGGUUAAGAGACUUGUCUAACCUCACACAGCUAGUAGGUGGCAAAUGGGAUUAAACCCAGAGUUCAGUGCCCUGGCACCAAGACUAGGAACACCGUAGCUUAAAGCCGAAACUGUAGAAAUAAUUUACUCUGGAGGCCUUCCAGCUCUCACGACUUCAGCUGCAAAGUUGAUGCCUAGCCGCUCUGCUGACCUCCAGGUCAGCAUGUCCAAGUGUGCACUGGGCAUGACGCUCAACCUCGUGCACCCCCGACCCCAUCCUCCUCCCCGUCCUGCAUUUCAAAUCUCAGCCAGUGGACCCCUUGCCCCUCACCACCCAGAUCAGAAAUAUGGACACCAUCUUGGUCUCCUACCUCCUCCAUCACUCCCCACGUCCAAGCGAUCUGCAAGUGCUGUCAAUUCCACAUGAAUCCAAAUCCGUCCUUCCUUCAGUUCUCUUGGCCUCAUUAGCCCACGUCAUUCAUUGAGCACUUCUGUGCCAGGCCCUUUGCCAGUGCUCAGGGGAGACAGAGGUGAAGAGACUCACAAUCUGGUGGAGAGAUGGACACACAAACAACUCGGGGAGAGGUAGGCAGAGGGGGCUGUAGAAGCAGAGAGGAAGGAGAAGAUGACACUCGGAGAUCUAGAGACAGCCCCUCCCCCCGCCCCGCCACACUCACGACAGUGAAGAGUCAGCCUGGCUUAUACACAAACAGACCUGACCUCAGUACCCUCUCCACCUUGCAUCCUACUGCCUGACACAGGCCUUAGGAGCAUAAGAUGGUACAGUCGCAAUGAACAGCUCACCAAAGAGGAAGGCAAGAGAAGCAGCGGCAGCAGCAGGGAACCUGGCUCCAAGAGCCGAGUGACCUGGGCUGCCGAUUGCUCAUUUGAGCCGCAGUUUCCUCACCUGCCAAAGAGGAACAAUAAUGGACACUCUCAGCAUUGUUAUGAGGUUCAAAUGAGAUUGUGUAUGAAAGGGCCUGGCCCACGUUGGCAACUGGUGAUAGGAGAUUUCCUUUCUACUACUCACCUGGCACGUCUGGUAUUAAACCAGGAAGGGAAGGAGAGAGGCAGAGCCAGAGAAGUGAUUUCAGAGCCUGCAUAUUUUCAACCAGGUGCAGCAGAACCCUGCAGCUAGACUCAGGCACAGAACCAGAGCCACCAUCUUUCUCACCUUCCCUUAGGGCUGAAGCUCCCCUCCAGAUGCCUCUCCCACAGCCUCCUGGGGUAGGGGGCGGGUUGUGGAGAAUGGCUCUUAUUACCUCCCCUGGCAGACUGCAAUUUUCUUAUACUUUCAAUUUUCCAGUCCAUGUGUAGAGACUGGGACAUAGUAUAUGUUCAAUAAAUGAUA